UGUGUAGGCGGCUUAAAUAGUCAGAUGUUAAAUCACUGAGCUCAACUCAGUGGCCGCAUUUGAAACGUUUAAGCUAGAAACAGGUAGAGGUGAGCGGAACUCAUGGUGUAGCAGUGAAAUGCGUUGAUAUCAUGGGGAAAACCAAAGGCGAAGGCAGCUCACUGGGCCUUGUUUGACGCUGAGGCACGAAAGCGUGGGUAGCGAACAGGAUUAGAUACCCUGGUAGUCC
rnacentral:rRNA from 1 species